UUUGGCUUCAUAACACUGUUCAUUUGGAUGGUGUCCUCUGACACAUGGCUCAGCUUGGACCUGUGCACUGAGCUCAGUCAAAAUGGGCAUGAUGAAGAGACAAACAGCUUCAGCUCAAGUGGUUCAGGCAAAAACGCUGUUAUUCAUGCCAAAACAAAAUUGCCACUGACAUGUGAAAGCACUGGCUGUGUUCUGCGACCUGUAAAGAUAAAGACUGAUAAUCACAGCACAUGUGUGAAUUACAGAAGUAUCUGUCCUUCAUCAGUUCUCCUGAAAUGUGCAUCCCAUUUCUCCCAAAUCCUUACAUUUGUUCUAAUGGACCACUGGAAAACAGUGGGCUGCGUCUGUCAGA